UAUUAUUAUAUGGUUAGCUUUUCCUUCUGUUUUAUCGGUUUCUCAUUAGCUUUUAUAACCCGUGAUCUAGUCUCUUGAUUCAUAAUUAUGUUUAGAGCUAUCCUUUGCUUCAUUUGAUCACAUCUAUUUUCAAUCAUGGAUCUUGCAAGAGUACUGUUCAUGAUCCAGUUUAUUGGUUUUCUAGCUUAUUUAUUUUGUGUGCUCGUACAUUUUGAUUCCCUGAAAUAUGUAAUCAUGUAUCUAAGUUAAACUAUUAUGUUAUCAAUAGUUGAAUUGUGGUAUAGAUGGUAUCCAAUUUAUAUAUAACUGAUUCCAUGUGAUCACGCUGUGAAUUUUGCGAGAAUGUUUUUGUGGGUUUGGUUCUUGAUAUAUAUAGGAACAUGUUUUUGUUUUUCGCAUUUAAUCCUGUAAACAACCAUAUAGACACAUUAAUUUGUGUGUGUUUUCGAAACUCUUCAUGUAAUUUUGGGGUCCAGAUGCGGUUUGUAUAUGCAUUUGCUGAGAAGAACCAAUUCAAUAUAAUGGUUAAGAAAUUUACAGUACUUGCAUUGCUUUAUGAAUGCUUCAUGUAUGCGUUUGCAUUACUAAAUUUUGAAGAACAAUUCAGUAUAGUGGUUAAAAACUACAGUACGGAGUUGCUUUGUGAAUCCUUACUGUGUGCGUUUCCAUUACUAAAUAUUGAAGAAGAUUAAAAUGUGAUUUUUUGGUCACCCAGAUCAAAUUCUUAUUUAUUUAAGCCAAAACACUAUUCCCUGGUUGCAAAUUUAUUGAUAGUCUCUUAUCGAUGACAGAGAUAGAACAAUUUAAACUUGGGAUUUGUUUGUGAGUGAUGAGGUUAUGAAUAGGACUUCUUCUUAUCGGUGUUACCCAAGGUCCUGGAGCUUCUCACCAAAAGCUCUUGCUGGGUAACAGUCGACGACUAUCAAUUGUUCUUGCGAACAAUCGCCUUAGGGAUUAAGGUGAAAUUUCUCCAUGGGGUUCUUCAUCUUGCUGAGCUUGACUCGCCUCUUAUAGGCUUUAUCUCGAGGUUUCUUAGUGCGUUUUACUUUUGUUGUACCGUCGAAUCUUCUGUUUUGGUUGAUUCGGUUUUGGUUGUAAACUUUCAUGCUCCUUGAAAGAUGGUGCUUUCUGAUACGUGUGAAAUGUAUGAUAUUUAUUCUCAAGUGGCAUGUUUCUUAUAAGGAUCGAUAUAAUAUAAGGUUGAGCUAGAUGGAAAUUGUCACAUGAUGGUAAUUAUGUCAUCUGAAAUGGCAUAUUGUUUUACGUUUUGCCUUACAUUAAUGUUACAAGUUAUGACCAAAACUUUUGUUUGCAUUCAUAUGAGGUGCCCUUUUGCGUGAACUAGGAAGACAUAAUCAAAGAGCAUCAAAUAACGCCCUUGUGUGAACAAGUUACUUUGUUUGGUUUUCAUGUUGUAGUUUGGAUUGUCUAUGCCAGAGAUGAACGCACUGUUUAUGUAUUGAUAUGUCGUUGCGACUGAAUUUUGCCUGAAUCCUGAAUCCUGAAAUUGUCCAAGUUCAAUGUUAUCAAGUCAUCAUCUUAAGAAACUGAAGUAUUACCUGGUAAUUGGCUCUUCUUGAUAAGCUAGCCACUUAAAAUCAUUUCUUGUGAAGAGCAUUUCCUUCUUUUCUAAAACUUAUUUUGUUGUAUAAUAUAGGCACAAAGAAACUAGAUGUGAUAAAGAAAAUCGAAUUAAAUAUUCCAGUCAGCCGUUUCAAAAUAUUCAAAAGAUUAUAUUCUUCUUGAAGCAAUAUAAAGUCAAUAUUUAUCAACCAAGUUGAUAAUAAUGAAAUAAAAGAAAUCAAAACAUGUAAAUUACAUAUUUAAUUGCCGCUAACUUAACCAAAGAAAGUUUCCCUCUGAUUACUUAACCAUUAUCUUAAAUUGUGUUGUUGUAUAUAGUCUUUAAACCUUCGAUUACGUUGAGUAGAAAACAUGGAGGAGUCGAGCGAGAGGGUUGUUCGGUUAGAGCAACACGAUGAGAUCACGACGGGCGAUGACUUGGUUAUCCAUCCCAUCCCACAGGACCUAGCACUAGCAGUAUCGGCGAUAUAUGAUCGCAUGAUGGUAGAUGUGGAGGAGUUAUUGUUUAACCAAAUCAGAGACACCUUCCUCUCGUAUACCAGUACCCCAUCAUACUUAGGCUUCGUCGGUCUCCCCGACGAAGAAUGUCAACAACCACGGCCAGCUCUUCGUAAUGCUAGAAGGAGACGCCCUCCUCCGGCCCGCGUAUCUCGACGGUCCUCGCAGGUGUCUCCACCCGUUUAUCUCCGCCAUAGGUUUCUGCCACAGUCACGUAAAGACUCAUCUUCUAGACGCCAACGUUAAUCUUCUAAUCAUUAUAUGAGAUGAUGUUCUUUGUGUCAUUGUGUGUUGUGUCUACAUAUCAUUAUAAUAAUCGGAUGUCUCCGAAAAGUUUAUUUGAAAUUCGGGUCUACCAUCAUAAACCGGGAAAUUUAUGUACCACCUCCAGGUUAUUGAAACACUAUCAAUCAACUUAUGAACAGUUUAUUUAUGCCUCAA